rnacentral:rRNA from 1 species
AUUGAACGCUGGCGGCAGGCCUAACACAUGCAAGUCGAACGAGUGGCGGACGGGUGAGUAAUGUCUGGGAAACUGCCUGAUGGAGGGGGAUAACUACUGGAAACGGUAGCUAAUACCGCAUACCCUCAGAUGUUCCCAGAUGGGAUUGUCUAGUUGGUGGGGUAACGGCUAACAAAGGAAACGAUCCCUAGCUGGUCUGAGAGGAUGACCAGCAACACUGGAACUGAGCAACGGUCAAGAUUCCAACGGGAGGCAGAAGUGGGAAAUAUCGCAAAAGGGGCGAACGCUGGACGCAGCCAUGCGGGGGGUAGGAAGAAGGCCUUCGGGUUGUAAAGUACGUUAAGAGGGGAGGCGUUACCUGAAGAAGAAGCACCGGCUAACUCCGUGCCAGCAGCCGCGGUAAUUC